rnacentral:rRNA from 1 species
UACGUAGGGUGCAAGCGUUAAUCGGAAUUACUGGGCGUAAAGCGUGCGCAGGCGGUUCGUUGUGUCGGUGGUGAAAGCCCCGGGCUUAACCUGGGAAUGGCCAUGGAAACUGGCGAACUGGAGUGUGGCAGAGGGGGGUGGAAUUCCGCGUGUAGCAGUGAAAUGCGUAGAGAUGCGGAGGAACACCGAUGGCGAAGGCAGCCCCCCUGGGCUAGCACUGACGCUCAGGCACGAAAGCGUGGGGAGCAAACAGG